rnacentral:rRNA from 1 species
CCUACGGGAGGCAGCAGUGAGGAAUAUUGGUCAAUGGGCUUACGCCUGAACCAGCCAAGUCGCGUGAGGGAAGACUGCUCUAUGGGUUGUAAACCUCUUUUGUCAGGGAGCAACGCCGGCUACGUGUAGCCGGACUGAGAGUACCUGAAGAAAAAGCAUAGGCUAACUCCGUGCCAGCAGCCGCGGUAAUACGGAGGAUGCGAGCGUUAUCCGGAUUUAUUGGGGGUAAAGGGUUCGUAGGCGGAAUGCCAAGUCAGCGGUAAAAUCGCGGGGCUCAAACUGGCUCCGCCUUUGAAACUGGCGUUCUUGAGUGGGCGAGAAGUAAUCGGAAUGCGUUGUGUAGCGGUGAAAUGCAUAGAUAUCACGCAGAACACCGAUGGCGAAGGCAGCAUACCGGCGCCCAACUGACGCUGAAGCACGAAAGCGUGGGUAUCGAACAGGAUUAGAGACCCCAGUAGUC